ACGCUAGCUACAGGCUUAACACAUGCAAGUCGAGGGGAAACGGCAUUAAGUGCUUGCACUUUUUGGACGUCGACCGGCGCACGGGUGAGUAACGCGUAUCCAACCUUCCCAUGACUAAGGGAUAACCUGCCGAAAGGCAGACUAAUACCUUAUGGUCUUCACUGACGGCAUCAGAUGUGAAGUAAAGAUUUAUCGGUUAUGGAUGGGGAUGCGUCUGAUUAGUUAGUUGGCGGGGUAACGGCCCACCAAGGCAAUGAUCAGUAGGGGUUCUGAGAGGAAGGUCCCCCACAUUGGAACUGAGACACGGUCCAAACUCCUACGGGAGGCAGCAGUGAGGAAUAUUGGUCAAUGGGCGAGAGCCUGAACCAGCCAAGUAGCGUGCAGGAUGACGGCCCUAUGGGUUGUAAACUGCUUUUGUAUGGGGAUAAAGUCAAUCACGUGUGAUUGUUUGCAGGUACCAUACGAAUAAGGACCGGCUAAUUCCGUGCCAGCAGCCGCGGUAAUACGGAAGGUCCGGGCGUUAUCCGGAUUUAUUGGGUUUAAAGGGAGCGUAGGCUGGAGAUUAAGUGUGUUGUGAAAUGUAGACGCUCAACGUCUGACUUGCAGCGCAUACUGGUUUCCUUGAGUACGCACAACGUUGGCGGAAUUCGUCGUGUAGCGGUGAAAUGCUUAGAUAUGACGAAGAACUCCGAUUGCGAAGGCAGCUGACGGGAGCGCAACUGACGCUGAAGCUCGAAGGUGCGGGUAUCGAACAGGAUUAGAUACCCUGGUAGUCCGCACAGUAAACGAUGGAUGCCCGCUGUUGGUACGUGGUAUCAGCGGCUAAGCGAAAGCAUUAAGCAUCCCACCUGGGGAGUACGCCGGCAACGGUGAAACUCAAAGGAAUUGACGGGGGCCCGCACAAGCGGAGGAACAUGUGG
rnacentral:rRNA from 1 species